rnacentral:RNase_P_RNA from 1 species
AAUUUCAGGUAAUCGCGGUUAAUGUAUAUUAACUGAGGAAAGUCCAUACUCGCACAAGCUGAGAUGCUUGUAGUGUUCGUGCUUAGCGAAACAAUAAGCUAAGGUAGUGUAAAAACUAACGGCGGCCCAACAUUCUAAGGCUCUGGCUAUGAAUUAGUAAGCUGUAAAGUGCCACAGUGACGAUACUUCAAGGAAACUUGAAGGUGGAACGGGUAAACCCCUCGAGCGAGCAACCCAAACAUUGGUAGGGGCGCUUUUCGACUGGAAAUCAACGGAACAAAAGACAUUUAUUAUGUAGAUAGAUGAUUACCCAAAAUGAAUGGCUACCUAUCACAUUCAUUUUGACAGAACAUGGCUUAUCGAA